rnacentral:piRNA from 1 species
UAUGAAAGUGUACCGGAGUAUUAGUGAUGC